rnacentral:rRNA from 1 species
UACGAACUGUGCGAACGUUAUUCGGAAUCACUGGGCUUACAGGGUGCGUAGGCGGCCUGUUAAGUAGGGUGUGAAAGCCCCCGGCUCAACCGGGGAAUGGCGCCCUAAACUGGCGGGCUGGAGUGAGAUAGGGGUGUGCGGAACUUCCGGUGGAGCGGUGAAAUGUGUUGAUAUCGGAAGGAACGCCGGUGGCGAAAGCGGCACACUGGAUCUCAACUGACGCUGAGGCACGAAAGCCA